CAGCAGCCGCGGUAAUACGUAGGGUGCGAGCGUUAAUCGGAAUUACUGGGCGUAAAGCGUGCGCAGGCGGUUAUAUAAGACGGAUGUGAAAUCCCCGGGCUCAACCUGGGACCUGCAUUUGUGACUGUAUAGCUAGAGUACGGUAGAGGGGGAUGGAAUUCCGCGUGUAGCAGUGAAAUGCGUAGAUAUGCGGAGGAACACCGAUGGCGAAGGCAAUCCCCUGGACCUGUACUGACGCUCAUGCACGAAAGCGUGGGGAGCAAACAGGAUUAGAGACCCCCGUAGUCCCUGUCUCUUAUAC
rnacentral:rRNA from 1 species